ACGGCUCAGUAACACGUGGAUAACCUACCCUUUAGGACUGGGAUAACCCUGGGAAACUGGGGAUAAUACUAGAUAGGCAAUUUUUCCUGGAAUGGUUUUUUGUUUAAAUGUUUUUUCGCCUAAGGAUGGGUCUGCGGCCGAUUAGGUAGUUGGUUAGGUAACGGCUUACCAAGCCAUUGAUCGGUACGGGUUGUGAGAGCAAGAGCCCGGAGAUGGAACCUGAGACAAGGUUCCAGGCCCUACGGGGUGCAGCAGGCGCGAAACCUCCGCAAUGUGAGAAAUCGCGACGGGGGGAUCCCAAGUGCCAUUCUUAACGGGAUGGCUUUUCAUUAGUGUAAAGAGCUUUUGGAAUAAGGGCUGGGCAAGACCGGUGCCAGCCGCCGCGGUAACACCGGCAGCUCUAGUGGUAGCAGUUUUUAUUGGGCCUAAAGCGUCCGUAGCCGGUUUAAUAAGUCUCUGGUGAAAUCCUGUAGCUUAACUGUGGGAAUUGCUGGAGAUACUAUUAGACUUGAGACCGGGAGAGGUUAGAGGUACUCCCAGGGUAGAGGUGAAAUUCUGUAAUCCUGGGAGGACCGCCUGCUGCGAAGGCGUCUAACUGGAACGGUUCUGACGGUGAGGGACGAAAGUCAGGGGCGCGAACCGGAUUAGAUACCCGGGUAGUCCUAACUGUAAACGAUGCGGACUUGGUGUUGGGGUGGCUUUGAGCUGUUCCAGUGCCGAAGGGAAGCUGUUUAGUCCGCCGCCUGGGAAGUACGGUCGCAAGACUGAAACUUAAAGGAAUUGGCGGGGGAG
rnacentral:rRNA from 1 species